rnacentral:rRNA from 1 species
UACGAAGGGGGCUAGCGUUGCUCGGAAUCACUGGGCGUAAAGGGUGCGUAGGCGGGUCUUUAAGUCAGGGGGUGAAAUCCUGGAGCUCAACUCCAGAACUGCCUUUGAUACUGAAGAUCUUGAGUUCGGGAGAGGUGAGUGGAACUGCGAGUGUAGAGGUGAAAUUCGUAGAUAUUCGCAAGAACACCAGUGGCGAAGGCGGCUCACUGGCCCGAUACUGACGGCUGAGGCACGAAAGCGUGGGGAGCAAACAGG